UAACUCUUCGGGGAGGCAGCAGUAGGGAAUCUUCCGCAAUGGGCGAAAGUCUGUCGGAGCAACGCCGCGUGAGUGAUGAAGGUUUUCGGAUCGUAAAGCUCUGUUGCCAGGGAAGAAUGCUUGGGAGAGUAACUGCUCCCAAGGUGCCGGUACCUGAGAAGAAACCCCCGGUUACUUCCUUGCCACCACCCCCGGUAAUCCGUAGGGGCCAACCGUUGUCCGGAAUUAUUGGCCGUAAAGCGCGCGCAGGCGGCCUUGUAAGUCUGUUGUUUAAACUUGGGGCUCACCCCCAAGUCGCAAUGGAAACUGCAAAGCUUGAGUACAGAAGAGGAAAGUGGAAUUCCACGUGUAGCGGUGAAAUGCGUAGAGAUGUGGAGGAACACCAGUGGCGAAGGCGACUUUCUGGGCUGUAACUGACGCUGAGCGCGAAUGCCUUCCCCC
rnacentral:rRNA from 1 species